UACGUAGGGGGCAAGCGUUGUCCGGAUUUACUGGGCGUAAAGAGCGCGCAGGCGGUCGUUCAAGUCGAGUGUGAAAGCCCCCGGCUCAACUGGGGAGGGUCACUCGAUACUGAUCGACUUGAAGGCAGGAGAGGGAAGCGGAAUUCCCGGUGUAGUGGUGAAAUGCGUAGAUAUCGGGAGGAACACCAGUGGCGAAGGCGGCUUCCUGGCCUGUUCUUGACGCUGAGGCGCGAAAGCUAGGGGAGCAAACGGG
rnacentral:rRNA from 1 species